rnacentral:rRNA from 1 species
UACAGAGGUCCCAAGCGUUGUUCGGAUUUACUGGGCGUAAAGGGAGCGUAGGUGGCAUUCUAAGUCUGAUGUGAAAGCUCUGAGCUUAACUCAGAAAUGGCAUUAGAUACUAGUUUGCUUGAGGAUUGGAGGGGAGACUGGAAUUCUCGGUGUAGCAGUGAAAUGCGUCGAUAUCGAGAGGAACACCAGUGGCGAAGGCGAGUCUCUGGACAAUUCCUGACACUGAUGCCCGAAAGCUAGGGGAGCAAACGGG